GUGCCCUGUUUUCUUUUGAAGGCUUCCUCUAAUGUAUCUGUCUAGAAAUCAUAUACUCCUAAGUGUAUGGCUGUGAGUAUCAUUAUAAUAUAAAGUUAAUUAAUGAAUGAGGAGCUGUGCGCUACUUGGCAUUUCUCAUAUAUUAUAAAAAUGUAAUUAAUUCUCUCUGAGCAGAUCUGAAACCCAUGUAAGUCUUGGAGAGCAGGAUGAACAUUGCCUGUAAGCUCUAUUGGGUAUUGUUAAUGGAUAUUUAGUUGGUAUUGCUAAAUGUUAUUUAUCUAUAAUUUAGGUGCCCAACCUUUUGGAUUGCUUGGGCCAUCUUGAGUGAGGAGGAGUUGCCUUGGGCUGAUGUUUUGGUUGUUGCUGAGUGAUGGGUGUAUGCCCAGCUGCAGAAGAGCAAGCUCACAGCCUCUCUAGAAUGGGGAAAUUCUCUUCAAGCAACCGGACAAUGAGUGCACAUCCCUGAGUUUAGCUGCUGCACCAGGAUUGUGUGAACAGGAGAGGAUCAGCCAUACAGUGUUGCCAAACCUAAAUAAUGUCGGUACGUCAGGUGGCUUCUGCAUGACUCAAAGCACCUCAAACUUCAGUGCACUUGAAGUACCCUUAGAGCAUAGUGACACAUGGUGUUCUGGGCCAGCUGGAAACAUAAACAUUACAAAGCAGCAGCAAACGUCUAUUACAUGAAACAUCAGUGAACUGCAAUAAGAAAAGGUAGGAUAAAAUUAAACUGUGAGACAUAGACCUCACGAAGCAAGUUCUUCAACUUAUGUGCUAUUUAAAAAGAAAGUAGAGCAGAUGUACCCCAUCUCAGUUGACAUUAAUACUUUGAAGUAAUGUUGGUGAGUAGCCUGUUAAUGUGUCACAUCACCCAAAGUAUUUAUUAUGUUAUCUUCAGUGGAGGCUAAAUAGUUAGAUAUCCUUGUAUAGAUGGAGAUGUAAAACUGACUGCUGGAGGGUGCUAUUUUAGCAGCUUGUUUGAGGAGCAGCUUGCUUGCUUUUGCCAUGUGAUGUGAGUCAUUUGUUACAUGUAAGUUCUCUACUGACUCUCCUUCCUUCUGAAGCAGCCCAUUAUAGUUCUGUGCAAUAUUGUGAUGUUUGUUAAUACUGGAGAACCUGUGAUCAGCAACAGUAGGAAAUAACUAUUUCUGUUUUACAAAGGAGGCAACUGAAGCACAGGCCGAUGUUGCCUGAAGUUGCUUAGUGGUAAUGCUUUGAAGAGGAAGAUAAGUUUUGACUGAAUUCAUAACAACAAAUUGAAGAAGUUGCUAAUGAACAUCCUGUUUUCUUGUACAUUCCUUUUUCCUUGUACAACUUGACUGCAAGGUUGCUCUGUAGACCCACCAUCGAUUUACAUGCUUUUUCAAAUGUUUGCAUCUUCACAUCAGGUGGCUAAAAUACUCAGAAAAGUAAUUUCUGACUGAUAUGAUGGAACACGAUACAUCCUACCUGUGUGGGAUUGAUAGAUAUUUUGAAGUUAGGUCUUAUCUGAGAUACACAGUAUGUCAGUGAAUGUCCUAAUUGCUU
rnacentral:lncRNA from 1 species